AAUUAAGGCCAAGAAAAUGGGAAGGAAGGAAGGGAGUGCGUAGGUCCAGUGAGAACAGGCGUGAAAUUUAUAUCUCUGCCCAGGACUGGGUGCCUGCAUCGCCAUGGACACCACCAGGGCCCUGGGGACGCUGGGUGCACUGGAGCAGGAGACCCCUCUUCUUGGCCCUGGCUGUCCUGGUCACCACAGUCCUUUGGGCUGUGAUUCUGAGUAUCCUAUUGUCCAAGGGAGCCUCUCUCCUCAGCCUCCACGGAGCGCGCGGCGCUGCUUGACGGCCACGACCUGCUGAGGACAAACGGUGUGUGCAGAGCCGGGCGCCUGGGCCCCCGGGGCGUGAGGGGCGGGAGUUUCUGAGACCCCGGAGAUGGAGUCUCGAGUGCGUGGGGGCCCUAUGGUCCCUGAGGCUGGAAGGGGGUCCCCUGAGUCCUCCCAAGUGACCCGAGGGGCAUGCAUUUUGGGGCGGGGGUCGUUCCAGCCUCGAAGCAGACGGCGGCGCUGGGUGCCCUGAAGGAGGAGGUCGGAGAC
rnacentral:lncRNA from 1 species